GACGAACGCUGGCGGCGUGCUUAACACAUGCAAGUCGAACGAAGUGGCGAACGGGUGAGUAACGCGUAAUCCACCUGCCCUUCAGAGGGGAACACCAGUUGGAAACGACUGCUAAUACCGCAUACUGAAGGAGGGGAUUGCGUCUGAUUAGCUAGUUGGAGGGGUAACGGCCCACCAAGGCGAAGAUCAGUAGCCGGUCUGAGAGGAUGAACGGCCACAUUUGGACUGAGACACGGCCCAGGAUCCUACGGGAAGUAGCAGUGGGGAAUCUUCCGCAAUGGACGAAAAUCUGACGGAGCAACGCCGCGUGAGUGAUUACGGCCUUCGGGUUGUAAAGCUCUGUUAAUCGGGGCGCGGUACCGGAAUAGAAAGCCACGGCUAACUACGUGCCAGCAGCCGCGGUAAUAC
rnacentral:rRNA from 1 species